rnacentral:rRNA from 1 species
GACGAACGCUGGCGGCGUGCUUAACACAUGCAAGUCGAACGGUAAGGCUCCAGCUUGCUGGGGUACACGAGUGGCGAACGGGUGAGUAACACGUGGGUGACCUGCCCUGCACUUCGGGAUAAGCCUGGGAAACUGGGUCUAAUACCGGAUAGGACCGCACCGUGAGGGUGUGGUGGAAAGUUUUUUCGGUGUGGGAUGGGCCCGCGGCCUAUCAGCUUGUUGGUGGGGUAAUGGCCUACCAAGGCGGCGACGGGUAGCCGGCCUGAGAGGGUGGACGGCCACAUUGGGACUGAGACACGGCCCAGACUCCUACGGGAGGCAGCAGUGGGGAAUAUUGCACAAUGGGCGGAAGCCUGAUGCAGCGACGCCGCGUGGGGGAUGACGGCCUUCGGGUUGUAAACUCCUUUCACCAUCGACGAAGGGUUUCUGACGGUAGAUGGAGAAGAAGCACCGGCUAACUACGUGCCAGCAGCCGCGGUAAUACGUAGGGUGCGAGCGUUGUCCGGAAUUACUGGGCGUAAAGAGCUCGUAGGUGGUUUGUCGCGUCGUCUGUGAAAUUCCGGGGCUUAACUCCGGGCGUGCAGGCGAUACGGGCAUAACUUGAGUACUGUAGGGGAGACUGGAAUUCCUGGUGUAGCGGUGAAAUGCGCAGAUAUCAGGAGGAACACCGGUGGCGAAGGCGGGUCUCUGGGCAGUAACUGACGCUGAGGAGCGAAAGCAUGGGGAGCGAACAGGAUUAGAUACCCUGGUAGUCCAUGCCGUAAACGGUGGGCGCUAGGUGUGGGUUUCCUUCCACGGGAUCCGUGCCGUAGCUAACGCAUUAAGCGCCCCGCCUGGGGAGUACGGCCGCAAGGCUAAAACUCAAAGGAAUUGACGGGGGCCCGCACAAGCGGCGGAGCAUGUGGAUUAAUUCGAUGCAACGCGAAGAACCUUACCUGGGCUUGACAUAUACAGGAUCGCGCCAGAGAUGGUGUUUCCCUUGUGGCUUGUAUACAGGUGGUGCAUGGUUGUCGUCAGCUCGUGUCGUGAGAUGUUGGGUCAAGUCCCGCAACGAGCGCAACCCUUGUCUUAUGUUGCCAGCACGUUGUGGUGGGGACUCGUAAGAAACUGCCGGGGUUAACUCGGAGGAAGGUGGGGAUGACGUCAAAUCAUCAUGCCCCUUAUGUCCAGGGCUUCACACAUGCUACAAUGGUCGGUACAGUGGGUUGCCAGUCCGUGAGGGCGAGCUAAUCCCGCAAAGCCGGUCUCAGUUCGGAUCGGGGUCUGCAACUCGACCCCGUGAAGCCGGAGUCGCUAGUAAUCGCAGAUCAGCAACGCUGCGGUGAAUACGUUCCCGGGCC